AUGAAAUUGACAGGCCACCUGUGGGGACGAAUCGGGAUUUAAAUGGAUAUGGCCAUCAUAAAAACUGUAGGUUGUGAUACGGCACAUGGCAGAAAGAUGCACAGUCAAUACUUUCGAUUCCAGUUCCAGAGGCGGCGCAGACAGCAUCUGCAAGAUGUAUACGUGGGACGACUGGUCAAACCGCAAUAGUUCAUGUCGGGAGGGAUGCUGAUCAUAUCAACAGCAAACAGAUGUAUUUCAUAUCAAAUUAAGCCCGUUGGAUUGUACAAUAGCAACCAUCUUCUAUUUGAUAAAGAUACCCAGCAGGUGAUCCCCCAUGGAGCAGCAGGGAGACUGAGACCCCUGUUUGAUCUGGCCUUGUUACUGGCGUCUGAAGGAUGAACGCUCUGCUCCGCACAACACAAAAUGAUCCAGGGUGAGAGAGAGAGCUUGCAAAAUCUUCUCUCCUCCCAAAUGGCGAAAUGUGUAUAAUUGCAGCAACUUGCUUUAAAACUGCAACAUUUUCUCUACGCCCCACGGCAAAAUUUGUACAAUUACAGGAAAUGAACUCAAAAACGUUUGUUUUCUCUCCUCCGUCAAAAUUUUGCUUAGGUCCCUCAAAAGGCUGUAAACGUGUUUGUCUAAGGUGUUUUGCAUAUAAAUUAUUUAACCUAAUACAAGUGACAUUUAAAGUGCCAUGCUUAUGCCGGUAAAUGUGUGUCAUGGAUUGACAUUGCUUUUGUUUCUUUCUGAAGACAAUUCUGAGACAGAUCUUAAGGGUGCUGGCUGACAUGGCUUGUUUUUCUCCAACAGAGUGAUUAUUUAUGAAAUUGUAAAAUUGAAAUUAAUUGCACUUGUAUGUCACUCUGGAUAAGAUUACUAAAAUUACUCAAAUGUAAAUCAGCCUGGAAGUGAGUUAGAGAAACAUUGUCUUUGCAGAAAGACACAUAUUGUAAUAUUUACAUGUGACAUGUAUGUACAAUAUGUGCAUCAUACGUGUGGAUACAGCUUUGUCUCAGAAAUAGGUUGCAAAGGGACGGUAUAUUACUGGAAACGUUUUAAGUGUACUAGUAAAUUACCAGAAUUUUGGUAUCUUUCAAGGAUUUUAUCAAGGAUUUUAUCUAGUGGCCCCUUUGGGUACUUCAGAUUAUCACAGGUGUCUGUAAUUAUCUCUGCCCCUCUGUGUGGCCUUAUCACAUGUAAAAUAUCUGAAAUAAUUAAAUAAUAUUAUUUAAAAAUAGAAUGACAAAGCUGUAAAAGGUUAUCCUAAAUAUAAACCAUCAACUUAGUGAAUACCAUUGGUGUUUCAGCAUUAAAUAAAAAUUUAAAAAAUACACUUUCAUUUAUUUUACGAUGUCAA